GCGUGGAUGAUGAAGGCCUUCGGGUUGUAAAGUCCUUUCGGCGGGGAAGAUGAUGACGGUACCCGCAGAAGAAGCCCCGGCUAACUUCGUGCCAGCAGCCGCGGUAAUACGGAGGGGGCUAGCGUUGUUCGGAAUUACUGGGCGUAAAGCGCACGUAGGCGGCUUUGCAAGUUAGAGGUGAAAGCCCGGGGCUCAACUCCGGAAUUGCCUUUAAAACUGCAUCGCUAGAAUUGUGGAGAGGUAAGUGGAAUUCCGAGUGUAGAGGUGAAAUUCGU
rnacentral:rRNA from 1 species